GACCCACAAAAUGAUAUAGGCUAACAUAAUAAUGCCCCUAUGCAAAACGAACGGCCAUAAACAGUCAGGUAUGGAUAUUAUUCUUAAUUUCUGUUACAAAAUGUAGAUAGGACUGUAAAAAGUCCAGUUGUAAUAGUUUUAAGAACUUACCAAUGAACACCCAUAUUGGGGGACAGUUAAUCGAAAUAAAUAGUGGUUACUGACCUGUUUUCAACUAUUUCUCACUAGAUGGCACCAUAAGGCACUUCUGGGAAGAUGCUUGAAUUUAUCAAUGCGUGAGUAAUUGUCGAGAGCAGCAACAUACAGACAUUUACUUCAGUAAACAUUCUUGCUGGAUCUAUAAUAAAAGUUGUAGUUGACCUCGGAUUGUGGAGUCAAUGGUAAACAAGAAUAGAUGCAGAUAAAUGCAGUCUGGGUGAGUAUUGAAAAAAAUCUUUCCAACCCCAAACAUUUGAACGGUUCUGUAGAUGCCCAUAGAGUCAUAGUGCUAUCAAACAUUCAUUACAGAACAUAUGUGAAGACUGUACCAGGAUGAUACUGACCGGAAUGUUGACAUGAUUUGGUACAUAGGUUUAUUAUGAGCAAAGCCAGAAGAAGAGACCAUUUCGAACUGCCUAUAGCUUGCCGUAGUGCAGCCUGUCAGCGUGAGCGUCAGAGCUGGAGUCUGCAGAGACUGUCUCUUCUAAUCAUUCCUCCUCUCUCUGAGCUCAGGCUUCAGGCUGAAGCUAUAUUUGGGUCUGCCCAGUGAAACUGUGAUCAUGCAUCCAAUGAACUGUGUAAUCAGAUAGCAUAGCUUUGUCACUACAGUCAAUGCACAUGCUAAGAAAUGCUUCGGUUUUGUUCUCACUUUUAGAAGUCUGCCCUCAGGAACAGUUGUGGGAGUAAAUGAAUCCCCAUUUCAGUUUCAUGCAGUCCAUUGCAUAACCUAUAAUUCUGACGCCCUGUUUACUAACAAAACCUGACUCGCAUACAUGAAUGUGUUCAGCUGAAACCCUUUAAUUAAAGCUAAUUUAACACACAAACAAUGCGCUUUGACACCAGAAAGACAUCGCACAUUUUUGAGAUGGAGAUAGAAAGGGCAGAAAAGAAAAAAAUAAAUCAGGGUUGGAGCUCCACCCAUGACAAUGGGAGACGAGCUUUCCUUGAAACCUCAGAACGACAUCAUGUGAAACCCCAGCAGUGCUGACUGACCCUUUACUCUGAAUCCACAGACUACUCCUCUUAUGGCAGAGACAAGUCUAAAUAAACUAGCAAUCUCUGAAAAAAAAAAAAAAAACAGUAAUGCACAG